GUUUUUUCUUUGGGCUUUAGCCCCAAUCCAAUAAAAAACAACCUUUUAUAUUCUCUCUAAUCAAGCCACCAAUAAACAAUAAUUGUGUCAUGAUGAACCAUUGCGAAGGAAUACCGCUUUAUGGUAUCAACCUGGCAAGGACACUCCUAACUCGGGCCUAGGGAUGUCCAUAUCUUUCUUAGGGUCCUCUUGUUAAAAUUCGAUGGAUGAUAAAUGAUGUCAGAAGAAAGGUCCUCAUCUCUAGAAUCAGAACAUGUAUCGAGGCAGAUAUAGGCUCUAGAGCUGAGCUGGCUGAGCAAUUAGGGUAACUACAGGAACCGGAGCAAAUAUUGGGUCGGGUGUGAAGACUGGAGAGUGUGCCAAAUGCAUCUUGAAGCUAUCAAAAGGAUGUGAUAGAUCAAAAUCGGGGUGAUGUAAAGAAGAGAGUUCGAAUGACAACCGAAAAACAUUUACAUACGCAAAAGCCAAAGGUGCUGCAAUAAAAACGCUCUCUGCCACAGGAUCUAUAGGACGUCCGUGAAGAUGAUGAUCAUACCCAUUUGAACCAACACAGAUAGCGAGAAGAACACAACAAUAUAAUGUAGGGGUGAGUAGUUCACCUCUUAGUA